rnacentral:piRNA from 1 species
UAGGAAUUGAAUCCAGAGCCUUACACGUGC